rnacentral:rRNA from 1 species
AAUCAACGCUGGCGGCGUGCCUAACACAUGCAAGUCGAACGAGAAAGUGGAGCAAUCCAUGAGUAAAGUGGCGCACGGGUGAGUAACACGUGACUAACCUACCCUUGAGUGGGGGAUAACCUAGGGAAACCUGGGCUAAUACCGCAUAAUACCUACGGGUCAAAGGAGCAAUUCGCUUUGGGAGGGGGUCGCGGCCGAUUAGUUAGUUGGCAGGGUAAUGGCCUACCAAGACGAUGAUCGGUACCGGCCUGAGAGGGCGCACGGACACACUGGAACUGAAACACGGUCCAGACUCCUACGGGAGGCAGCAGUGGGGAAUUUUGCGCAAUGGGGAAACCCUGACGCAGCAACGCCGCGUGGAGGAUGAAGUCCCUUGGGACGUAAACUCCUUUCGAUCGGGACGAUAAUGACGGUACCGGAAGAAGAAGCCCCGGCUAACUUCGUGCCAGCAGCCGCC